AAAGCGUGCGCGCGGCGCGGAAAGCUUCGGAAAUCGUAGGAGACGAGCCGCAGACAGACAGGAAAGCCGAAACCUAUAACUACAAAGCCGAAGCCCGUACAACGCAUAAUCUUCGCUUUAUUCCGACCGACGGCAAACCAUAAUAUUCUCUAUUAUCGAAUGAAGAAGCGCGCGUGAAUAGGCGAAGUGGGCUAUUUGGUAUCUUGGAAAGUCAAGAAGACUUCAUAUUUUUGCUACAAACGCAAGUACAUAAACGACAUUGACGAUGGCGACGCGAAUGAGGAAAUUGAAAAUGUGCCAGCAAAUCAGUGC